rnacentral:lncRNA from 1 species
CAGGAUCCAACUUCGCUGCAGCUAUCCUUGACGACCUCGCAGACCCCCGGCAGUCAUGGCCAGCAAGAGCUUGCAGGACCUGAAGCAGCAAGUGCAGGGGGCGGCCCAGGAAGCAGGUGAGGACAGUGCUGCGACCCGGGGCACUUGCAGGGACUCACGGAGGCAGAAGUCCUGGGUUACGCAUCCCGAAAGUCGGUUGGCCGCUCCGGGUCCUGAGGGCCCUCCCUUGAGAUGCAGGGAUCCGGCAGGACGCCCACCCCGCCCAGUCCAAGGGAUGAUGCCUUGAGGGAGGUGGGGAAACAUUGGUGCCCCCUGAGUUCGGGGCGAUGUGGGCAUUGCCAGGAGCCAAUAUAAAGAGACUGCGCGGGAGGGGAGUGGCCACACCCUGAUCGAUCGUGAGAAGCCCCACCUCAGUCCUUAGGGGAGGGUGAAGGUCCACGGAGAGAGCGCACUUGGCACCCCGUGCACCUAGAGAUCCAUCUCUGCUCGCUGGGGUCUCAGAGGCGCACUGGACCGGAUGGGAUGGCAGAAGGGGCUCCUCCUGCCACCACCCGGCUUUGAGUUCCCCUACCUCCCCCGUCCUACCGAAAAAAAAUCAUUUCCUUCUAAGUCCUCACCCAGAGGGCCUUCUCACCCCUCACCUCAGAAGGUAGGUCCCCAGCCUUGUUUCUCCACCCCCAGCUCUUUCCUCCUGGGACCUGAGAUUACACAGCUGGGGUGGCAUAGGGUGGACUGGGGUUAGGAAAUGUGUGGAGACCCCUGCCCUAAGGCCCACCAGCUGUGGCUUUUCCAGCCCAGCUCGGCCUCCCCCGGGACUCCAGCUCCCAAUUUGUGCUGCACAUAUCCAAACGAACAGACAACACCCAAACUAACCCCCUCCUUCAUCAGUGCCCCAGGGAAUGCCCACAGUUGCUCCCCUGAAACUAAAAUGCUACCAGGAAGCCUGUCUACAAGACCCUUCCUUCUGGGCCACACUUUCCCCAUCUGUAAAUUGGGUGCAAAAGCUUCUUCUCUGUGGCCCCGACUGGUUCUGUCAUAUAAGGACCCAUGGGAGCCUCUGUGAGCAGCAGACCCGGGGCCUGCCUGACCCCCCUACACCUCCCUGACCCAGAGUCUGAGUAAAAGCAGCUUCUUUCCGGUUCAGUUGCAAGGAUGAGUCAGGUCUCUGGAGGCUGGAGCCACUUGUCUGCUCCCCUAGCAGGUGGGACCCACUUGAGCCCCUGGAAGCCCUGUUCACCACAGGCACAAACUCUGGUCCAGGGGAGAUGGCCUGACUUUGGAAGUGUCACCUCCGUUCUGGACUUCAUUUCCUAAUGCCUUAAGAUGCAUGCCCACAGAGGCACCAGCAUCAUUGUUUGUGUGCCUUCUGGGGAGAGGCAUGGGAGAGAAGCAGUGGUGAAAGGGCCUUGCAAGGGUGGGGCCCCUGUGCACUGGAGGUGGGAAUUCAGGCAUCUGGGCCAGGCUUCUGGGGGGAGAAAUUGUGAAAGAGGGACAGGGUUCUUCCCGGGCCGUGCCCAGGAGCAGCCACAACCCAGAUGCCAGCUCCAGCCUCUGUUGGGAUGUUUUCUCUGCAAUCCUGGAGAUGAAGAGAGAAGCAGGCCAGAGGGGAGGAGCCUAGAGUUAUAAAUAAACAAGAAUACCCCAGAGGCAUGGAAAGGGCCCCUAUGCCUCACUGGCGCAGGACUUUUUAGUCAGAGGACUUGACUUUGAUGGCAUUCAUCCCUUGGGCCUGUAGGACACACUACUCUAGAGAACAGAUAGAGGUGGCAAUGGUGGGGCCCCUGUGGUUGGCAGUGUCUCAAUAGGGACUAAGGGCCACAUCUCUCUGUUCCAGUGACUGCGGCAGGAUCAUCGGCCCAGCAAGUGGUGGACCAAGCCACAGAAGCAGGGCAGAAAGGUCUGGUGGGGCUGGUGGGCAGGAGGGCGGGCAGCCCCAGAACAUUCCCCACCCUAUUCAGCCCUCAGCCAGACAUACCCUCCACUCUGAAGCCCCUCUGUCCACAUUGCUUCCUGGGGAUGGAGACCCAGGCCAGGCUAACCCUAGAGGACUCUGGUUCCCAGGGCCUGGCCCUCACCUGCUUUCUCCUUUCCUUCCCCAGCCAUGGACCAGGUGGCCAAGGCCACCCAGGAAACCAUCGACAAGACUGCUAACCAGGCCUCUGAGACUUUCUCAGGUUUUGGGAAAAAAUUAGGCCUCAUAUAACGACAGAAGGGAGACAUGGGUGACUGCCCUCCAGCCCCUGGGCUUUGGCGGGCCCUUGGCCUGCUGCCUUAUUAAAGCACAUGUUCCUACCUCCUGUCCACUUCAUUCCUCCCCACAAGCCGGGCCCAGCCCUCUCUCGCCCCCGCCCUGCACAGUGUGCAGAAACCCAGCCCCGACAUCCAGAGUUCUGGCAUUCCAAAUUCGGAAACCCAUACGAACUGUCCAAGAAUUCUUUUCCCAUGGUCUCAACCGCAAAUCCAGACGCUCCC